UGGCGAACGGGUGAGUAACACGUGGGUGAUCUGCCCUGCACUCUGGGAUAAGCCUGGGAAACUGGGUCUAAUACCGGAUAGGACCAUGCUUUAGUGUGUGUGGUGGAAAGUUUUUUCGGUGUAGGAUGAGCCCGCGGCCUAUCAGCUUGUUGGUGGGGUGAUGGCCUACCAAGGCGACGACGGGUAGCCGGCCUGAGAGGGUGAUCGGCCACAUUGGGACUGAGAUACGGCCCAG
rnacentral:rRNA from 1 species